GUGUCAGCCGCCGCGGUAACACGCACUGUGCGAACGUUAUUCGGAAUCACUGGGCUUAAAGGGUGCGUAGGCGGCGAUUCAAGUCAGAUGUGAAAUGCCUGAGCUCAACUGAGGCAUUGCGUUUGAAACUGGAUUGCUGGAGUGUCCCAGGGGUGUGCGGAACUGCCAGUGGAGCGGUGAAAUGUGUUGAUAUUGGCAGGAACACCGGAGGCGAAAGCGGCACACUGGGGGAUAACUGACGCUGAGGCACGAAAGCCAGGGGAGCGAACGGGAUUAGAUACCCCGGUAGUCCUGGCUGUAAACGAUGAGCACUGGGCGGGAGGAAGUUCGCUUCUUUCUGCCGUAGCGAAAGCGUUAAGUGCUCCGCCUGGGGAGUAUGGUCGCAAGGCUGAA
rnacentral:rRNA from 1 species